UAAGGAUGCCCUCAACGAUUCCACUGAAACA
rnacentral:piRNA from 1 species